rnacentral:rRNA from 1 species
AGCAGCCGCGGUAAUUCCAGCUCCAAUAGCGUAUAUUAAAGUUGUUGCAGUUAAAAAGCUCGUAGUUGAAUUUCGGGGUUAGCAGGUCGGUCGUGCCAUCGGUAUGAACUGGUCUCGCUGAUCCCUCCCUCUUGACGAACUGUGAUGCCAUUAAUUUGGUGUCGCAGGGAAUCAGGACUGUUACUUUGAAAAAAUUAGAGUGUUUAAAGCAGGCUCACGCUUGAAUACAUUAGCAUGGAAUAAUGAAAUAGGACGUUUGAUCCUAUUUUGUUGGCUUCUAGGAUUGACGUAAUGAUUAAUAGGGAUAGUUGGGGGCAUUAGUAUUCAAUUGUCAGAGGUGAAAUUCUUGGAUUUAUUGAAGACUAACGUACUGCGAAAGCAUUUGCCAAGGAUGUUUUCAUUAAUCAAGAACGAAAGUUAGGGGAUCGAAGACGAUCAGAUACCGUCGUAGUCUUAACCAUAAACUAUGCCGACUAGGGAUCGGAUGAUGUUAAUUUUUUGAUGACUCAUUCGGCGCCUU